rnacentral:rRNA from 1 species
ACCGGCGGCUCGAGUGGUGGCCACUAUUACUGGGCUUAAAGCGUUCGUAGCUGGCUUGUUAAGUCUCUGGGGAAAUCUUCCGGCUCAACCGGAAGGCGUCCCAGGGAUACUGGCAGGCUAGGGACCGGAAGAGGUGAGAGGUACUCCAGGGGUGGGGGUGAAAUCCUGUGAUUCGGUGGGGACGAACGGUGGCGAAGGCGACACACCAGGAUGGGUCCGACAGGGAGGACCGCAACCUAGGAGAGCAAGGCG